GGCGGGGCAGCAGUUCCGAGUCCGGCGCGCGCGGGCAGGGUCCCCAUUGCCUGCCGCGCACCCGGACUAGCGACUACCCUCGGCCUCCUCGCCAUGGACGCGGACGACUCCCGGGCCCCCAAGGGCUCUUUGCGGAAGUUCCUGGGGCACCUCUCCCGGGCCGGCAAGGCCAUCGGCGUGCUGACCAGUGGCGGGGAUGCUCAAGAAUAUAAUGGGUGCUCAGAAGCUGUUGGAAUUUAGUAACAGAAAAUCAUCCUUAAGGAGCUAUUUAAGCAAGGGGACAGUUGGAGUAAAUGUAAGUUAUGAACACACACUUAUUCCAAACCAGAGAAAUAAAAGCAUCAACUGUGCUGGGGUUGAAACUUGGUUGCUAGUGUGUCUUUCCUGCCCACAGUGACUGUGGCAGUGCUGUGGCCAGGAAAUUCUGGAAAGAAGACUUGGUGCCAGUGGUAGUUUUUGUGACGAUUCAUUUGCUUUCAGCUCAAGUGACUAUAGUCUAACUUGCAAAUGGCUAGGUCUCCACCAAUGGACCACGACAUUGACAUAGGACAAAUGAGAAAUGGCCCUUGGGUUUUUAACAAUUAUUAUUUUUAAUGGACACAUUAUGGUACAUAUCCAUGGGAUACAGUGUGAUAUUUCAAUACAUGUUUAUCAUGUGUAAUUAGCAAAUCAGGAUAAUUAGCAUGUCCGUCUUCUCAAACAUUUGUCAUUUCUUAAUGCUGGGAAUAUUUAAAAUCCUCUCUUCUAGCUGCUUGAAAAUAUACAAUAAAUUAUAAGCUACAGUCACCCUAAAGGCUAUAGCACACUAAACCUCAUUUUUACUAUCUAGAUGUAAUUUUGUAUCCAUUAGCCAACCUCUCCCUUUCUGCCUUCCCGCCGCCCUUUCCUGUCUCUAGAAUCCACUGUUCUACCUUCAGAGGGUAGAAUAUCAUUUUCCUCAUAGAGAUCUUUAACCCUCUUGGUUAGACUUCUUCUGAGGUAUUUUUAUUUUUAUUUUAUAUUUUUGUAACUAAAUUGGAUUGCUUUCUUGAUUUCUUUUUCCACUGGCUCAUUGUUAGUCUAUAGAAAUGCUACUGACUUUUAUAUGUUUAUUUUGUAUUCUGUAACUUUACUAAAUUUGUUUAUCGGUUCAAAGAGAUUUUUGCUGGAGCCUUUUUUUUUUUUUUAAUAUAUAAGAGCAUAUAGUCUGCAAACAGACAAUUAGAGUUUCUCCUUUCCACUUUGGGUGCCCUUGAUUUCUUUCUCUUGCCUAACUGCUCUUGACUAGGACGUUCAGUGCUGUGUUGGAUAGGAGUGGCACAAGUGGGCGUCCUUGUCUUGUUACAGGUGUCAGAGAAAAAGCUCUUAGUAUUUCCCCAUUCACCAUUAUGUUAGCUGUGGGUUUGUCACAUAUGGCCUUUAUUGUGUUGAGGUAUGUUUCCUUCAGUGCCUCGUUUGUUGAGACUUUUUAUCAUGAAGCAGCGUUGAAUUUUAUCAAAUGCUUUUUCUGUAUCUGUCGAAAUGAUAUGGUUUUUGUCCUUAAUUCUGUUGAUGUGAUGUAGCGUGUUUAUUGAUCUGUGUUUGUUGAGCAAUCCUUGCAUCCUGGGAUAAAUCCCACUUGAUCAUGGUGUAUAAUCUUUUUGAUUUACUGUUGGAUUCAGUUUGUUAGUAUUUUGCUGAGGAUUUUUGCAUCUGUGUUCAUCGGGGUAUUGACCUAUAGUUUUCUCUUUUUAUUGUGUCCUUGUCUUAUUUUGGUAUCAGUGUAAUGCUUGGCUUGAAGAAUGAACUUGACAGAAUUCCCUCCUUUUCAAUAUUUUUGGAAUAGUUUGAGAAGAAUUGAAAGAAAAAUUUGUAGAAUCCAGCUGUGAAGCCACCAAGUUCUGGGGUUUUCUUUGUUGGGAGACAUUUUAUUAUUAUAUAGUCAUACGUGUUACUCAUUAUUGGUCUGUUUAGGAUUUCCGUUUCUUCUUGGUUCCAUCUUGGUAGGUUGUACAUGUCCAGGAAUGUAUCCAUUUCCUCUAGGUUUUCCAAUCUCUUGACAUACAGUUGUUAAAAAUAGUUUCUAAUGAUCCCUUGUAUUUCUGUGGUAUCAAAUGUAAUUCUCCUUUUUUGUUUCUAAUUUUAUUUAUUUGGGAUUUCUUUUUCUUUCUUAGUGUAGCGAAUGGCUUGUCUAUUUUAUUUAUCUUUUCAAAAAACCAACACUUUUUUCUUCAUCUUUUAUAUUUGUUAGUUUCCAUAUUAUUUACUUCCUCUUUGAUCUUUGUUAUUUCUUUUCUGCUACCUCUUCUGGAUUUGAUUUGUUCUUGUUCUUCUAGCUAACUGCAGUUCAUUGUUAGGUUGUUUAUUUUAAAUGUUUUUUAAAUGUAGAAGUUUAUUGUUAUAAACUUUCCUCUUAAUACUACUUUUGC
ensembl:lncRNA